AAUAUUUUCAAAAUUAUAUAUGAAUAGCCACCGGGUUCACUGUCAGACGGUUGAAUACAAGUUCAAAAUCAAUAUGAAAUAAAUGCUCAUUUUUACGACGGAUUUUUCAUCACCUCCCUAUAUAAUAUGUAUAAGAAACGUUUCUGAUAGUCAGUCUGCCGUUAACUCAUUUAUUUUGAUUACGCCAUUUCUCUAUAAAGUUUUUAUAAUUGUAUUAACGUUUUACAAAGCAGUUUAGUUUAGUGUGCGGCUUUAAUAAUUUAUUUUAUAGAAAAGAGCAUAAUACAUCAUUACAGAUAUAGAAUUUCCCUCACGUAAUCCGCUAUAAUUGCGAUCUGCUUGUCGGAGUUUUCUAAUCACUAGACCACGUGACUAUGUGGGCGGAGCGAUCGAUAAUUUGGCGACUGGUCAAUUGUUGAUAAGCUGAUAAUAAUCUUGAGAACAAGUCACCCAGAUCAUUAAAGCGUACCAUAACGGUUUUACCAAUAUAUGAAUGAGAUAACGUAAAUAUUAAACUUAACAAAUUUCAAAGGAAAUAUUUUCUAAUGACAUCUUCACUAAUUGCACAUGCAAGUAAAAGUACAUGAAUGCUGUAUGUAUUAUGUGCAGCAAAUAUGAAUAUGUAAACUUCAUGAAAUAAAAAAAAGUAUAAUA